rnacentral:lncRNA from 1 species
AGCCCGGCGCGCCUUUCCCAGGAAAACAAGAAGAGGCUGCUCCCGGGGCGCGGGAGAUGAGUCACUCCUCAGUUCAGCAAGGGACUGCCCUUCGGACCAGGUGAAGAAAAAGCUCAGCAUGACGGAGCUACUUGCUGGCUAGCAUCUAACUGCUGAGAGGCAAAGCUGGAACUCAAACCCAGGUGGGAAAACCAGGCUAGAUUUCCUAUGGGCUCCCCACAGGGACAACAAAUCACAGCUUUAACUGAGGGACAAAGCUGCUGACAGAAAAUAAGUGACAUAAGUGACUCUGGGCCACUGAGGAGUGAAUCACGCAGCAGGGGCUGAAAAUAACACUGAUAGCUUGUUUUUAUGGAAGGCUCCCUGGGUGCUAGGCACUGGCCUGAUUGGCUGAAAUUUAGCAUUCCUAGGGAGACAUCUGGGUAGAUGUACGGUUCUAGAUCUCAGAAGCAAGGCCAGGGCCAGGAAUCAAAAUAGAUGUGAUGGAAUACUAUGCUGUCAUUAAAAGUGCCAUUCACAAGGAAUAAAUAGAGAUGGUAAUAAAUGGUAUGUACCAGAGAAGGUUCUGAGAAGGAAAAAUUCAUAUAGGGCUCGCUAAGAAAGAACUGGCACACAGACACCAGUUAAUAAAUAUUUGUUGCAUGAAUAAGUGAAGGGCAUGAGGAAAUACUUAUGGUCUCAACUAUGGGAACAAUGUUAAUAGUCACAAAAUAUUAAGUGCUUACCAUAUAAGGUACUCUGCAAAGUGCUUUGCAUGCUUUACCUAUUUUGCUCUUUAUCAAAACCCUAUUCAGUAGAUAUAUAUCCCUAGUUUAUACAUGGGGAAACCGGAUAAGGCUGAAACUAAGUAAUUCACCCAGUGUCAUAAUUGGUAGAGUCGCAGUUUGUAUCCAAGACUGUUUUCAUCCCGAUCUCACCUGACAUGAUUUGUUCCAGCAUUCUACCAGAUCAGUGGUUCUCAAAGUGACAUCCUUUCCCACCGGGGUGCAUUUGACAAUGUCUGGAGAUUUUGAGGACAAAACCAGGGGAUGCCUCUGUCCCCUCCUUGAGAAGGUCAGUGAUGUGUGACCUGGGGCCUACACCUUCUGAGGUCAAGGCUAGGAUGCUCCAAGGUGCUAUCCUGAAGCACUGAGCCUGGAUGAAGGCAGCUGCUACCUGAUGAAUGAUGAGUAAGAACCUAUAAGACCUUAAGAAAUCACUGGCACUUACCUUCCUCCCUUCAGGCCUGGGAUUGAAGAUCCUUGAAUUUGCCUAGGCUGUCACUUGCAGUGUUGGAGGCAGGCAUACCCGAGUAGAGAACUUCUACUUUUCUGUGACUUUGGGCAUAACUUAACUUCUCCAAGCCUCAGUUACCUCAUCUGUAAAAAUGGGCAUAAUAAUAAAUGAUAUGACAUGUUCAAGAGCUCCUCUUAAAUGGUUUUUUUUUUUUUACUUUUUUUUGUCUUUUUUUAGGGCCACACCCAUGGCAUAUGGAGGUUCCCAGGCUAGGGGUCUAAUCUGAGCUGUAGCCACCAGCCUAUGCCACAGCCACAGCAACAUCAGAUCCGAGCCACGUCUGCGACCUAUAGCACAGCUCAUGACAACGCCGGAUCCUUAACCCACUGAGCAAGGCCAGGGAUCAAACCUGCGUCCUCAUGGAUGCUAGUCAGAUUCCUUUCCACUGAGCCACAGCAGGAACUCCUUUUUAUGGCACCUGCAGCACACAGUUCCUCGGCCAGGGGUUGAAUCCCAGCCGCACCUGCGACCUCAGCUGCAGUCACAGCAACACCGGAUCUGAGCUGCCUCUGUGACCUAUGCUGCAGCUUGCAGCAUUGCUGGAUCCUUAACCCACUGAGGGAGGCCAAGAAUCGAAACCGCAUCCUCACAGAGACAGGGCCAGGUCCUUAACCUGUUGAGCCACAAGGGGAACUCCUUAAAUAGGAAUUAAUAUUUAUAUAGCAUCCUCUGUGUCUAAGGUGCUGUGUAACUUUGAAAAGGUUUUUAUCAUUUUUGGACCUCCAUUUCAUCAUCAGCUAAAGUGGGGAGAAUAGGAAAUGGGAUUGCAAAUAGCAAAGCCUCAGAGCACAUGUUAACUCCAUGCUCAUUUUCUUUUCUUUUCGUCUUUUUAGGGCCACACCUGUGGCAUAUGGAGAUUCUCAGGCUAGGGGUUGAAUCGGAGCUAUAGUCACCGGCCUACACCUGAGCCACACAACUUGGAAUCCAAGCCACCCUGUCUGGGACCUACACCACAGCUCACAGGAAUGCCAGAUCCUUAACCCACUGAGGGAGGCCAGGGAUCGAACCUGUGUCCUCAUGGAUGCUUAUCUGGUUUGUUAACUGCUGAGCCACGGCAGGAACUCCCCAGUGCUCAUUUUCAUAUGUAUAUAUUUGCAUUUAAUUCUCAUGAUUCAGUAGGUUAUUAUGCCCAUUUGACAGUUAGGAAAACUGAGAUGCCCAAGCUAAGUUACUGGCCAAAGACUACACAGCCUAAUAGAAUUAGAGCCUGGAUCUCUGGCUGUGGGCCCUUAGUCUUCCAUGGAUGGUGUGCUGCAGGUUACAUGAGGCCUCGUCUACAGCAAGCACUGAAACAUGACUAUUUUCUGGCCUAAAAUUCAUGCCCAUGCCUAAUUGGCAAUUUUCUGCUCUUUUCUGUGCUCCUUGCUGAGGUAGAUACUUGUUUCCAAGGCUGGAGUAACAAAGUCAUCAUAAGAACUGAGUGGCUCAGAACAACGGAAAUGUGCUAUCUCCCAGCUCUGGAGGCCAGGAGUCUGAGAUCAAGGUGUCACAGGGCGCUGCUCCCUCUAACCUGUACUGGGGGAUCUUUCCUUACCUCUUGAAACUUCUGGAACCCCUAGAAGUUCGAUGGCUUGUGGCUGCAUCACUCCAAUCUUCCCAUGGUGUUCUCCCUGUGUCUCUGUGCAUCCUUUUCCCUCUGUGCAUGGCUGUCUAUGUGUCCAAUUUUCCCCUGCCCUCCUUUUUUUUGGCCACACCUGGGGCAAGCAAAAGUUCCCCGCCCAGGGAUUGAACUGUGCCAUAGUAGUGACUACACCGAUUCUUAACCCACUGAGCCACCAGGGAAUUCCCAAGAGUCCCCCCCCCCCCUUUUAAGAACCAGUUUUUUUAUUUGACCAUUUCUUGCAUUCGAAGUCCUCCUCAAUGACAUCCUUGGCCUGAGAGUCUUCGCCAUAGUCCUUCACCACCACACUACUGCAACCAACCACUUUACAGGGUUUUCCCUGUCUGUCAGUUUUACAGAGGCCUACCCAUUCCCCUAGUUGCUUGUUGUCAUCGCCAUAAUUAGGUUGAUCUGGUGCUCAGCACAAAGGGCAUGAGCUCAUCACAGUUGAUGGAAGCACACAAAGACGGGCUUGGCGUUUGUCUAAGGUUUUGGCAGCUUGGUGAAUUCCACGGGCUAGGCCAUCAUGGAUGAGGCCGGUCUUCAGCACCUCUUGUAGAGCAGUAUUAAUGUCCAUUACACCUCCAGCAGCAAUGCCUUCCUCAGCCAGGUCCGUGGGUUAGGGGCGGAGCCAAAUUUUGAGUGCACCUAAGCCUCUGUCUCCGCAGGACUCGGUGGUGGCAGGGAAAGAGAAGAUUCCCCUUUUUAUGAGGACAUCACUUAUGUUGGGUUAGAGCCCACCCCAAUGACCUCAUUUUAACUUGGUUACCUCUGUAAAGACCCUAUUUCCAAAUAAGGUCACAUUCUGAGGUGUGGGCUUACGACCUCAGUAUCUUUUUUUGUUUUUGUUUUUUUGCCUUUUCUAGGGCUGCUUCCCUCAGCCUAUGGAGGUUCCCAGGCUAGGGGUCUAAUCAGACCUGUAGCCGCCGGCCUACGCCAGAGACACAGCAACACCAGAUCUGAGCCGCGUCUGCAACCUACACCACAGCCCACAGCAACCCCUGAUCCUUAACCCACCUGAGGGAGGCAGAGAUUGAACCUGAGACCUCAUGGUUCCUAGUCAGAUCCAUUAACCACUGCGCCACAAUGGGAGCUCCUCAGUAUCUUUUUUUUUAUGGGACACAUAUGGGAAAACACUCCUGUGUUUCUCCUUUACUUUCACACUCACAAUACUUCUGACACCACAUGCCUGGUUUUCCACACCAAGCAAUUCUCUGGGACACCAGCUGCAUGUCCUAUAAUUCAAUUCAAUUCUGACACUAACUAGAGUUAGUACAGACCCCACAGAUUACUGCUUAGUUCCACAAGACUGCCCCCGGCUCCCGCCCCGGGUUUCAGGUGCCAAUGGGAAGUCCAGGUUGUAAUCUAAACUUCUGACUGACAGGUUAUAAAUCGGGGACCCUGUGACCUCCUCCCUGGGUUAGAGAAUUUGCUAGACUGGCUCACAGAACUCAAGCAAACACUUAGGUUAACCAGAUUUUUAGUUAACAAAGGACACAGAUGAACAGGCAGAUGAAGAGAUACCUAGGAUGAGGUCUGCAGUGGGUUUAUGCAGGGAGCAGGAGUUUCUGUUCCUGUGGCAUUGGGGUGCACCACUUUCCAAGCACAUGGACGUGUCCACCAAACUGGUAGUUCUGUGAACCCCAUGCUUUUGGGCUUUUUAUGGAGGCUCCCUCAUGUAGGCAUAAUCUAUCAUAAACUCAGUCUCUAGCCUCUCUCCCCUCCCAGGAGGAUGGGGGCUGGGUCUCCAACCUUUUGAUGAUGGCUUAGUCUUCCUGGUAACCAGCCCCUAUCCAGGAGCCCCACAAGCUUGGCCUCAUUAGAGCAGAAGAUGUUCCUAUCACCCAGGAAGUUCCAGCGGGUUUAAGAGUUCUGUGUCAGGAGCCAUAGUCAAAGACCAAAUAUUCAUAUUCAAACAAAAAAGGGCUCCUAGUGCUUUUAUCACUUAGGAAAUGACAAGAAUUUUAGGAGCUCUGUGCCAGGAAUGAGGGGGCAGAG